rnacentral:rRNA from 1 species
AACGAACGCUGGCGGCGCGUCUUAAACAUGCAAGUCGAACGAUCUGUAGCAAUACAGGGAGUGGCGGACGGGUGAGGAACACGUAGGAAUCUACCUUGAAGAGCGGGACAACUUUGGGAAACCGGGGCUAAUACCGCAUAGUACAGAGAUGUUAAAGGGCUAGCAAUAGUCGCUUCGAGAUGAGCCUGCGGUCUAUCAGCUUGUUGGUGAGGUAAUGGCUCACCAAGGCUACGACGGAUAGCCGGUCUGAGAGGAUGAUCGGCCACACUGGCACUGAGACACGGGCCAGACUCCUACGGGAGGCAGCAGUUAAGAAUCUUGCGCAAUGGGGGAAACCCUGACGCAGCGACGCCGCGUGAAGGAUGAAGGCUUUCGGGUUGUAAACUUCGGUAGACUGGGAAGAAGGAAAUAACGUUCGUUGAGGGCGUAUAGUGACGGUACCAGUCUGAAGCCCCGGCUAAUUACGUGCCAGCAGCCGCGGUAAU